GCACUACUGAGGAGUCCCAUACCAGGACGAAACGGCUGUCUAGUGC
rnacentral:hammerhead_ribozyme from 1 species